rnacentral:rRNA from 1 species
CGAGCGCACCUUCGGGUGAGCGGCGGACGGGUUAGUAACGCGUGGGAACAUACCCUUUUCUACGGAAUAGCCUCGGGAAACUGAGAGUAAUACCGUAUAAGCCCUUCGGGGGAAAGAUUUAUCGGGAAAGGAUUGGCCCGCGUUAGAUUAGAUAGUUGGUGGGGUAAUGGCCUACCAAGUCUACGAUCUAUAGCUGGUUUUAGAGGAUGAUCAGCAACACUGGGACUGAGACACGGCCCAGACUCCUACGGGAGGCAGCAGUGGGGAAUCUUAGACAAUGGGCGCAAGCCUGAUCUAGCCAUGCCGCGUGUGUGAUGAAGGUCUUAGGAUCGUAAAGCACUUUCGCCAGGGAUGAUAAUGACAGUACCUGGUAAAGAAACCCCGGCUAACUCCGUGCCAGCAGCCGCGGUAAUACGGAGGGGGUUAGCGUUGUUCGGAAUUACUGGGCGUAAAGCGUACGUAGGCGGAUUGGAAAGUUGGGGGUGAAAUCCCAGGGCUCAACCCUGGAACUGCCUCCAAAACUAUCAGUCUAGAGUUCGAGAGAGGUGAGUGGAAUUCCAAGUGUAGAGGUGAAAUUCGU